UACGGAGGGUGCAAACGUUGCUCGGAAUCAUUGGGCGUAAAGCGCACGUAGGCGGUCUGCCAAGUCGGAUGUGAAAGCCCUGGGCUCAACCCAGGAAGUGUAUUCGAAACUAGCAGACUUGAAUAUGGAAGAGGGUCGCGGAAUUCCCGGUGUAGAGGUGAAAUUCGUAGAUAUCGGGAGGAACACCAGUGGCGAAGGCGGCGACCUGGGCCAAUAUUGACGCUGAGGUGCGAAAGCGUGGGGAGCAAACAGG
rnacentral:rRNA from 1 species